rnacentral:rRNA from 1 species
UACGUAUGGGGCGAGCGUUGUUCGGAUUUAUUGGGCGUAAAGGGCGUGUAGGCGGCUCAUCAAGCCUGGUGUGAAAACGCAAGGCUUAACCUUGCAUAGGCGCUGGAAACUGGUGGGCUUGAGUUCUUGAGGGGAAGCUGGAAUUCCAGGUGUAGGGGUGAAAUCUGUAGAUAUCUGGAAGAACACCGGUGGCGAAGGCGAGCUUCUAUCAGAGGACUGACGCUGAGGCGCGAAAGCUAGGGGAGCAAACGGG